rnacentral:rRNA from 1 species
UACGGAGGGUGCGAGCGUUAAUCGGAAUUACUGGGCGUAAAGCGUGCGCAGGCGGUUCGUUAUGUCGGCGGUGAAAGCCCCGGGCUUAACCUGGGAAUGGCCGUUGAAACUGGCGAACUGGAGUGUGGCAGAGGGGGGUGGAAUUCCGCGUGUAGCAGUGAAAUGCGUAGAGAUGCGGAGGAACACCGAUGGCGAAGGCAGCCCCCUGGGCUAACACUGACGCUCAGGCACGAAAGCGUGGGGAGCAAACAGG